AACAACGAACAUACAAAGUUCGACAAUAUGACAGGCGAUAUGAUUUGGUAUGAGAAGAAACAAAUCAGAAAUGAACAAAGUGUCUUUCAGCAUGACAGUAGGUUGUUCAGAUCGCGAAAUUUUUCUGGUUUUCGAAAGUAUUUAUAUGAAAAAUUUUGUAUUUGGUUACGGUGUCCUAGCGAUUUUUUCAUAUCAAUAGUGGUAUGUGAAAUAGUGUGAAUGUCGUAAGAUAAUGUUCAAAUCUCAUACAUUAACUGCGAUUUUCCUAUUAUGUUUCGUUACAUGAUCUAUUUUGUUGUUUCAAUUUGGCGGCAAAAAGUGAAUGUUUACAUUGAUCGUGUGCAUGCGUGUACAUUUGUUGUUGUGAAUGAAACAUGUUUUGAUGACUUACAUUGUUUUGAUGAUGAUGAUGAUGAUGUGUUUGCCAAUUUGUUUUGGUAUUGAUGAAUGGUUAGUCGAGUUUGUUGAUGGUGUCUAGUGAUGACUGGAUGGUUGUUGUUGCGACCACUAGAAGAAAAGAAGUCACUCGUCAUUGCUGCUCAGAUGCCAUGUUGUUGUUGUUGUUUUUGUCGAUUGAAAUUCUAUUAUGAUUUUGCCGGCCAUGCAUGAUUACAGGAUUCGAUUAUGGGUGAUUCUCCAGGAUGGGCCAGGAUUCAGCUACGACGUUUCAGCUAUGAUGAUCCGACUGUGAUAUAUCGACUGUGAUGAUUGUUUUUCAUUUGUUUACAAUUAUUUUUAUUUAUUUCAGGAUUGUUUGGCCAUGGACACGUUGGAUUGAAGUAUCGUUUUUAUUCUUCGUUUUUACCCGGUGAUAUUAUUUUAAAAUUUUUAUUCAUUAUAUUACAUUGACCAUGUUGUUUUUCCAUCCAGGCUGGUUCAAUUAUCGUUAAUUUCUGUUGUGGCAACAUGAUCGAUGGGGUUGAUGACUGUGAUAAUUCUGGUAAGUAUUAUUGUGAUAUUGUUGAUUCUGUUAAUUCUUGUUGAUUUAUUUUAGAUGUGGUGAUUUGAAUUCGUUGGUUUUAUCGUCAAAUUUUUCUUGUUAUUUUGUCAUGAAUUGUUAAUACUGUUGAAUGCUGAUACUUUGUUUUUACGUUUUUGGAAUGUCGGUUUUAUCGUUCCAACAAUGCCGAUCGUGCGGAUGUUGUGGUCAAUUUACUAUUCAAAGCAAAAAUUUUGGAUCGAGUUGGUAAAUCAUUUGCCAUUACAGUUGAUGUUGUUUAU